rnacentral:rRNA from 1 species
CGUCUUAGCAUGCAGUCGGGCGGCAAGCUGUAGCAAUACAGCCUAGAGCGGCGGACUGGUGAGUAACGCGUGGGUGACCUACCUUGGGGAUGGGGAUAGCCGUUAGAAAUAGCGGGUAAUACCGAAUACGUUCAUUUUACUGUGGUAAGGUGAGCAAAGGGGCUACGGCCCCGCCUUAAGAUGGGCCCGCGUCCUAUUAGGUAGUUGGCGGGGUAAGAGCCCACCAAGCCCGUGAUAGGUAGCCGGCCUGAGAGGGUGAACGGCCACAUUGGGACUGAGAUACGGCCCAAACUCCUACGGGAGGCAGCAGCUAAGAAUAUUCCGCAAUGGACGAAAGUCUGACGGAGCGACGCCGCGUGGAUGACGAAGGCCGGAAGGUUGUAAAAUCCUUUUGCCGCUGAAGAAUAAGCGGGGUAGGGAAUGACCCCGUGAUGACGUUAGGCGGUGAAUAAGCCCCGGCUAAUUACGUGCCAGCAGCCGCGGUAACACGUAAGGGGCGAGCGUUGUUCGGAAUUAUUGGGCGUAAAGGGCGCGUAGGCGGUCUUUUAAGUCUGGAGUGAAAGCCCGCGGCUUAACCGCGGGACUGCUUUGGAAACUGGAAGGCUUGAGUCAUAGAGGGGAGGCCGGAAUUCCUGGUGUAGGGGUGAAAUCUAUAGAUAUCAGGAAGAACACCGAUGGCGAAGGCAGGUCUCUAGCUAAUGACUGACGCUGAGGCGCGAAAGUGCGGGGAGUAAACAGGAUUAGAUACCCUGGUAGUCCGCACUAUAAACGAUGUGCACUAGGUGUCGGGGCGAGCGCUUCGGUGCCGAAGUUAACGUGAUUAGUGCACCGCCUGGGAGUAUGCCCGCAGGGUGAAACUCAAAGGAAUUGACGGGGCCCGCACAGCGUGAGCAUGUGUUAUCGAUGAUACGCGAGACUACUGGNUUGAAU